GCUGAAUUCGCUUAGUCGGUUAAAGCACGGGUCUCAUACUCUUUAUGUGUGACCGAGGAUUCUUGGGCCAUCCCGGGCCCCCGGUUCGAUUCCGGGAUUCGGCA
rnacentral:tRNA from 2 species